GCACUCGCCGGCAUACGAGGGUAAUUGAGUCAUUAAGAUUACCGGCAGUUUAAUUGAUCUACACUCCCGCUGUUCCAGCUCCAGCAAAGAAAGGUUUCGCAUUCAGGUAACACACGAAAUGUCACAGUUUCCUGCGGCAAAAUUUGUUGUUUGAAAACAGUUUUACUUGUUACAUUUCAUAGCGACGUGUUUCAGCUGCACACGGCAAACAGACUCAGUUUUUCCGAUUGCCGAAAAUAAAUUGUUGGCUUUAUUUCUACGCCGUAUUAUUGAAAUUUUAAGUAGAAAUUUUGUCCAUCGAAGCGAAAGCGAUGCGGAGUGUGAAAUGCUUUCUAACCGUGCGUUUAGUGAAUAACUUAUGGGUAAUACUCACAGCUGUUGUUAUAAUGGGAUUCCGAGCUGUUGCAGUUGUAGUGCCGAGAUCCAAUUGCUACGCUCUCGAUAAUUCUAGUCGUAUUGUUGAUUUUAGUAGCUGGAUCGGACAGUAUUUUGAGUAUGGAGAUAAGGGUGGUGAUUUGGUGGUUCGAUUUUGCAAAGAUGUAGAGAAUAGAUCACAAGCGGAGGGAUACAUAGAUUUUGGCCGAUUUAAUAAGUUCAACCAUUUUGUUCCUGGUUCAGGCUACGUUGACUUUGUUCAAGGGUUUUACAAUGGUGACCUUUCGAAGUGUGAGCGAAGUUAUGACAAGAUGGGACGUACAGCUCAGGUAAAUGUUAUUUGCGGGAAUUGUUUAAGCGGACAAUGUAAAGGUGGACUUGGAUGCAUUUGCAAUGUUACUUAUGAUGAGCCAAAGUGCAGAGUAUUUGUUGAACUUGCAAUUCCAUGUGAGAAACCAGGUCCCCGGGUAUUUGAGGGCUUCACUGUUGGCUUUCAUCCACGAUCAUGGGAAAUUGUUUACAAUGGCAUGACUCAACUGGGUUUUGAAAGGGCUCGUGAUGAUUUCAGCUUUAAGACUGAACAGACCCAUGUGGCCCUAUAUAUAACUGCUAUUGCUUCUGUUUCCACUUUGGUGGAAAAACCUAGUUUUAAGGUUUUUCCAGAAAAGGGUCUCAAGGUCAGCCUAUCCGGCUCAGCGGCAAUGGGGAGCCAUCCUACAACUUUGUCACCCACAAUACUGAUUGUGAAUUGGAGAUGUGAGAGGGCUAGUGAUAGUCUGUAUGACGUUAAUAUCACCAUACCAGUCAAGGGCUAUGACCCCAUUCAGUUUGUUCUUACAAAAAUGUGUGAAUAUAGGCAGGAUCAAGAAGCGGAUCCUAUGCGGGGAUGGGCUAUUUUUGGAGUGAUCUCUUGCAUAUUCAUCAUCUCAUCAGCCAUAUUCUGUUGUGGCGGUUUCAUUUACAAGACACGAGCAGAGCAACUGCGUGGGAUUGAUGCAUUGCCAGGCAUGACAAUUCUUUCUGCAUGCUUAGAAACUGCGAGUGGAGCAGGACAAAGUUACUCACGACCAGAAGACUUUAACGGUUCCUUUACCAAUCAGGCCUCCUGGGAACGGCCUCCUGCAUCUGCUCAAGCAACAUGGAGAUCAAAUGAAAGUAAAUAUGGGUCAAUUUGAACUUACUCACCUUGCUAUUUUUAAGGUCUGCAAAUUGACAUAGAGCCAAAAAAAGGAAAUGAACAUUUCAGUCAACUCUCGUGAAGUAAAUUUACACAGUAGCCACAAUUUGUGAUCCAACUUUUUCGAAUAUUUUUUUCAAACAUCCGAAUAUGAAGUAAGCUA